AGCAAGACGAAGAGCGAAGAUUUGAAGCGGAAAUCGAACUAUUUCACUGCAAAGAAAACCAUCGACGUCCAUAAAGAUUCAGACAGCCAGGCUCUCAAAGAUUGGUGGAUAUGACUUAAAGAGCUGUUUAAGCACCAUCAUGGACAGCUACUUUCCUCUUUCUCUACAUAUAUAUUAAAAAUAGGCGAUGUAAGACCCAAAUUCUAAUCUAUGAGUGCUAGAUCGGGAAUUAUAGUAAUGCAAAAUUCCGUACUUUUUGGCCUGCGUGUUCAAUUUCAGGCUCAUGACAUAUGAAUUCAUGUCCAAUCUGAACAUGAAGGGGAGAGGGGAAAAAAAUAGCUUGGCUGAGACGAAGCUGCUCGAUGUAGUCACAGCUAGUGUCUUGGAUACCCAGAAGGGGACCGAAACGAUGGUCCAUGAUGCCAUAAAAAAUAAACUGAAAUAUGCCUCUGGACGGAAGGGAGGAAUAGGAUGCGCAUCACAGGC